UACGUAGGGUGCGAGCGUUAAUCGGAAUUAUUGGGCGUAAAGCGCGCGCAGGCGGUCCUUUAAGUCUGAUGUGAAAGCCCACGGCUCAACCGUGGAGGGUCAUUGGAAACUGGGGGACUUGAGUACAGAAGAGGAAAGCGGAAUUCCACGUGUAGCGGUGAAAUGCGUAGAGAUGUGGAGGAACACCAGUGGCGAAGGCGGCUUCCUGGUCUGCGACUGACGCUGUGGCGCGAAAGCUAGGGGAGCAAACGGG
rnacentral:rRNA from 1 species